AACGAACGCUGGCGGCAUGCCUAACACAUGCAAGUCGAACGAAGGCUUCGGCCUUAGUGGCGCACGGGUGCGUAACGCGUGGGAAUCUGCCCUUUGGUUCGGAAUAACAGCUGGAAACGGCUGCAAAUACCGGAUGAUGACGAAAGUCCAAAGAUUUAUCGCCAGAGGAUGAGCCCGCGUUGGAUUAGGUAGUUGGUGGGGUAAAGGCCUACCAAGCCGACGAUCCAUAGCUGGUCUGAGAGGAUGAUCAGCCACACUGGGACUGAGACACGGCCCAGACUCCUACGGGAGGCAGCAGUGGGGAAUAUUGGACAAUGGGCGCAAGCCUGAUCCAGCAAUGCCGCGUGAGUGAUGAAGGCCCUAGGGUUGUAAAGCUCUUUUACCCGGGAAGAUAAUGACUGUACCGGGAGAAUAAGCCCCGGCUAACUCCGUG
rnacentral:rRNA from 1 species